UACGUAGGGUGCAAGCGUUAUCCGGAAUUAUUAGGCGUAAAGAGCUCGUAGGCGGUUUGUCGCGUCUGCUGUGAAAACUGGAGGCUCAACCUCCAGCCUGCAGUGGGUACGGGCAGACUAGAGUGCGGUAGGGGAGAUUGGAAUUCCUGGUGUAGCGGUGGAAUGCGCAGAUAUCAGGAGGAACACCGAUGGCGAAGGCAGAUCUCUGGGCCGUAACUGACGCUGAGGAGCGAAAGCAUGGGGGAGCGAACAGG
rnacentral:rRNA from 1 species